GCCUGGUCUGUCCACAUUGCAGACUAUUCUGUCUCACUAUCCUUUGCAUUUUCUCCAAGGCCUUUCAUGUCAUUCUGCAGAAAGAAUGAGACUUGAUCAGAUUCACUUGAGUUGUGGGAUGAUCUGUCUAAAAGGGAUAUGAGAGGAAAAACAUUGCUGGAUGUGGAUGGAAUUCUCCCCUUCAUCUGCAUACUAGGGCAAUUCAUCUACCAUUGACACAUUUUACCAUUCGGAGGAACCCAAACUACAGAGAGGAAGCCCACAUGGUCCCCAUGAAAAGGUGGUAAUGAAUGUUUCCAAGACCAGAGGAGCCCGCACCAGUUUCCGAGACCGGACACAGCUUUCAGCCAACAUCUAAAUUAGGCAAUCAGAAACUUUGAAGCUCCUCAGGAUUGGUUGUCAACUUGCACCCAAACUCUCUGACUCCGAGUACGUAGGAGGUAUGACUAGAAGCAAAAAGAUAAAUGCAAAAGGAUAAAAAUAUCCAAAUGUUCAUUCAAGUCAGUUCCAUUCUGUGUUUGUAUGUACAGUGUCAUUACUCAUUUCCACGAUCCCACCAAGGCUUCCAAUCCCUUGAGAGAAGCAAAUGAGAAAGGAAGAAAUCUUGGAUAAUCUAUCUCUGUGGGGAAAUCGCAUGGAAUAUACCCACCAACCCAUAAACAUAUGUGAAUAGAUCCCAGGAGAGUCUGGCAAACAGUCCUAGGAGAUACACCAUUAAUCACCGUUAAUCCUUCUACUUCUACUAAUUUCAGACAUUUGCCCAUUUCCCUGAAACAAAUUGGAGCUUGACAUCAGUCAUUUAAAGCAAAUGGCAAACUACAGUGAGUUCCAUGGGGUAGUAUUUCCUGACAACUUGUAUAUGAUCUGUUGUCCUUCAUUGCCCAAUUGUCCAAGAUUAUCUUUCAGUGAGAUUGAAAUGUAAUUUAAUCUAAAUAUUUAUUUUACGUACUCUUAGGCCCAGAAAGAAGCGCAAUUGAGGAGUGUAUAAAGGAGGCUCUUGUCAUGGGCUUCAUUCAACAUUGCACAUCACCGGCUGGUGCCAGCUUCUUCAUACAAAAGAAAAAUGGAAGCCUGUGGCCAUACAUUGAUUAUAGGGUGUUAAUGGCCAAGUAUUGUUAUACCCUUCUACUCCAUAAAUGUACCUUUGAGAUGCUCCAAGGGGCAAGAGUGUUCACAAAACUAGACAUGCAGAGUACAUACAAUCUGACCCGUAUAAAGGAAAGCGAUGAGUGGAAGACCACAGUCAAUACACCGACAGGGCACUAUGAGUACCUGGUUAUGCCCUUUGGUCUUUUGAAUGUUCCAGCAGUCUUUCAUGCUUUUAUAAAUGAUGUGCUCUGGAAUGCUCUCCAUUAGUACCUGUUCAUCUGCUUGGAUGAUAUCCUAAUCUUUUUGAAGUCUAUUGAAGAGCAUGUCACUGACAUUUUAAAGAGGCUUCUGGACCAUGGACUUUACGUUAAGCUGGAGAAGUCUGAAUUUCAUAUGACAACCAUUUCAUUUUUGAGUUUCAUCAUCUCCAAUGGCAACCUCAAGAUGGACCCAAAGAAGACUCAGGCAGUCAGAGACUGGCCAUAACCAUCCAGUUUCAAAAAUCCAGUGAUUCCUGGGGUUUUCAAAUUUUCACUGGAAGUUCAUUAGGAACUUCAGCUUGGUGACAGCUCUGCUGACAGUGCUAACUAAGAAUUAUUUUAAAAUCUUUUUAUUAGUUUUAAACAAACAUAAAUGAAACAUGAAUACAAAAUGUUUGAGAGUACAUAAUUAAUAGUUUAAAUAGACAUUCAGAUAUAUAAUAAUAAAAAUAUAUAACCUCUCAAACUCAGAACAUUAAUGAACAAAGAAGUAAAAAGAGAAAAAAAAAGAAAAACCCCAAAAAAAAGAGAGAAAAAAAACCAAAAAAAAACACUAACCAACAUGGGCCAUUGAAUAAUAUUAAGUACAUAUACAGUAGUGCCAAUAACUCCGAAUCUCCAUCCAAUUAAUUAAGGAUAAUAUAAGUAAGGUUUAGGAAAAGACAGUUCAACUCAUGUGAAAAUGUUGAAUAAAAGGUCUCCAAGUUCCUUCAAAUUUAACUGAAGGAUCAAAAACCACACUUCUAAUUUUUUCUAAACUCAAACAAGAAAUAGUUUGAGAAAACCACUGAAAUACAGUUGGAGGAUUAAUUUCUUUCCAAUUCAAUAAAAUAGAUCUUCUAGCCAUUAAUGUAACAAAUGCAAUCAUUCGUUGAGAUGAAGCGGAUAAACGGUUAUUAUCCGUCAUUGGUAAACCGAAAAUUGCAGUAAGAGGAUGCGGUUGACAAUUAAUAUUUAAAACUCUUGAAAUAAUACUGAAAAUAUCUUUCCAAUAAUUUACAAUAACUAAGAAAUUUACAGGCCCUUUUGUCUGGACUACCAAAGUGUUGCACCUCAGUUUCCAAUUCAAUUUCUUCUAACUCUGGCCUUCCCUUCUUCAUGUAGGUGGGCAUUGGAGUGGGUGUAUUGUUGUCUCAAUAUUCACCUUUGGAUGGUAAACUGCACCCACGUGCAUUCGUCAGGUGGUUAUCCCCAGCACAGAGAAACUGACAUGGGGAAAUCAGGAGCUUCUUGUGGUUAAGUUAGCUUUGGAGGAAUGACAGCUCUGGCUAGAGGGGGCUAAAAACCCUUUUCUUAGGCCACAAAAACCUGGCUUAUAUUCAGGAGGACAAUAGACUGAACUCAUGGUAGGCCAGGUGGACUUUGCUUUUCAGCUGCUUUGAUUUCAUCCUAAACUAUCGACCAGGGUCAAAAAACCAGAAACCAGAUGUCUUGAUAAAUCUGAAUGAGAGAAGCAGCCUGGCACCAUUUUGCUCUGAGCCAAGGUGGGGAAUUCAUUGGGGAAUCGAUGCUCUAGAUCGCAAGGCCCAAGUGUAAGGGGAGAUUCCUAAGAAAGGUCCUCCGUGUCAGCUUUUCGUCCCUAGUCCCAUCCGGUCUCAGGUGCUCCAAUGGGGAUAUUCGUUGAUUGCCAGGAUCUUCAAGUUUAUCAAGAAAAGAUAUUGGUAGCCUGGAAUGAUGAAAGAGGUUUGGCAGUACGUGCAGGCAUGCAAGAUGUCCAUCCAGAACAAGAAGCCUUGUACCUGACCUCAAGAGCUCCUCUACCCACUACCCAUUCUGAACAGACCUUGGGCACACAUCUCCAUGGACUUUGUCACAUUUCUUCCAUCAUCCAAGGAGAAGACUGUCAUCGUGGUCAUUGUUGAUUGGUUUACAAAUGCCUGCAAGUUUAUUGCUUUUGAUAAGCUACCAUCUCUGGCAGAGACAGCUGAAAUUGUCCUGGACCAGAUCUUCAAGAUCUAUGGAUUUCUGAUGGACAUUGUCUAGUACGUCAGAAUUCUCAUCACUUUUCUAGAGGGUUUUCUGUAAUUUGAUUGGGGCAACAGCAAGUCUUUCCCCAGGGUUUCUCCCACAGCCCAACAGCUGGGCGGAGCAGACCAACCAAGAUUUGGAAUGCACCCUAAGAUGCCUGGCCUCAAAAAGACCUGAGGAGUGGUGUGACCACUUGAUGUGGACAGAGGUCACCCACAACAGCUUACAGCGAUCGGUGCAAGGGAUGUCACCAUUCAAGUGCCAGUUUGGAUAUCCACUGUCACUCUUUCCUGAAAAGGAGAUCAAGGUUGGAGUUCCUGUGGCCGAAGAUCUCACCCAAUGCUGCAAGUAGAAAUGGACUAGGGCAAAGGAGAUUUUGCUGGACUAUCCCAGACAGCGGAGACCAAAGGAAUUGAAGGAGGAGGCAAGGACCUGCUUCGCAGCCUGGGCAACAGGAAUGGUUGUCCACUCAUGAUUUGUCUCUCCAGGUGAAGUCUAUAAAGUUCACUGGACCUUUCAGAGUCCUGGGGGAAGUAAAUCUGGUAGCUCACACCUUGCAGCCCCCAAGACCUUAAAAAUCAAUCUCACCUACCUGUGUAAAGUAAAACCAGUCCGCAUCAGCCUCUUAGCCCCACCACCAUCCAGGUUUAAUCGAUGGGGAGCAGGUCUUCAUGGUGAGAAGACUUUCAGACUCACAAACCGUUCAGGGUAUUCAGCAAUAUCUCAUGGACUGGGAGGGAUUUGGACAAAGGGAAGAUGCAGGGCACCUGAAAGAGACAUUUUGGAUCCAGUUCUCAUCCAUGACUAACAUCACCAUCUCUCUGAACAGACAGGGCUCUCAGGAGUUGGCCAUAGGGGAGGGGGUCCUGUUACGAGAUUUAACUCUCCAGAGAAUGGAUAGCUGGUGUGGCCCUUUUAAGGGUUCAGGACCAUUCAGCUAAUAAGCCAUCAUGUUUUGGGUGUCAAGAAUUGAGUAUUUAAAGAGCACCUGAACAGAGCUUCAGGGCUCAAUCGUAAACCCAACCAGGGACAUUGCCUAGCGUUUUGUUUUGUGCUUAGUUCUCCAUCCAGCUUUAUUCCUUUUCUCGAUCCUAGCCUCAGAUACUCCAGCAUCUGGGUCCAAAGCAUCAUCGUCAAGGACUCUCAUCACACAUUAUCUAAGAAAGGAAGUGAUGGCAGUGGAAAGAGUUCAGAGGAAGUUCACAAGAACAAUCCCAGGAAUAAAAGGGAUAAUGUAUGAGCAGAGUUUGAUGGUUCUGGGCCUACAAUUACUGAGCUUUAGAAGAAUGAGGGUUAAUCUCAUUGAAACCUAUCAAACAUUGAAUAGCCUAGAUAGAGUGGGCAUUGAGAGGAUGUUUCCAGUUGUGGGAGGGUCCCAUUCCAGAGGGCACAGCCACAUAAGACAGGGGUGUUCCCUAUAGAACAGGGAUGAAGAGGAAAUUCCUUAGCCAGACAGUGGUGAAUAUGUGGAUUUAAUUGCCCUUAGUUUGCUAUGGAGGCUAAGUCAAUGGGUAUAUUUAAGCUGGAGACUGAUAGGUUCAUGAUUGGUAAGGGUGUCAAAGGCAAUGGGGAGGGGGCAGAAUG